ensembl:lncRNA
GUUUAAAUGAAUGCUGACAAGAAGAAAAAAAAAAUGGCUGUCUAUGCAGUAUAAAUGCAUCUCUGCUACAUGGCUAGAGAAAGCAGAGAAAAGGGCUGUGGCAAAAAGUAGCCUACAAGACAGAUUGAGGACUCUAGCAGAAAGUCUAAGCUGCUCUCUUCUCGAAUAAUGAAAGUGGACGGGGACCAUAAAAUAUAAAAAUAUAAGCACAAACAACAUCCUUCCCCUCCUUCCUCUCGAUUGGCCGACAGGAUCACACUGAAAUGUCAUGACAGGAAGACAUUCCGCAGAUACCAAAAUAAACAAGAGCAGAGCACCA